rnacentral:tRNA from 1 species
AAGCAAAAAACUCACCACCCAGAUGCCGAUAAACCGAAACAAAAUCCUCAACCAGAGGUCCACUGUGGAUCUCUAGUCUCUCUUGGGCUUGUAGAUCAGAUGGAAGAUCGCUGCCUUUGCAAGGCAGAGGCCCUGGGUUCGAAUCCCAGCAAGUCCAUUUUUGUGCACCCGGGAAAUAAAUUUCCGGGGAAGGGUGGAUUGCCUGCGUUGACACGCAGGUACAUGAAGUCAUGUACAGGUGCUGUAUACUGGACGCUUACUGGACCUGGUUAGGAUACAC